GUGGGGAAUAUUGGACAAUGGGCGAAAGCCUGAUCCAGCCAUGCCGCGUGUGUGAAGAAGGCCUUCGGGUUGUAAACUGCUUUUGUACGGAACGAAACGGUCCGGGUUAAUACCCUGGGCUAAUGACGGUACCGUAAGAAUAAGCACCGGCUAACUACGUGCCAGCAGCCGCGGUAAUACGUAGGGUGCAAGCGUUAAUCGGAAUUACUGGGCGUAAAGCGUGCGCAGGCGGUUUUGUAAGACAGGCGUGAAAUCCCCGGGCUCAACCUGGGAAUUGCGCUUGUGACUGCAAGGCUGGAGUGCGGCAGAGGGGGAUGGAAUUCCGCGUGUAGCAGUGAAAUGCGUAGAUAUGCGGAGGAACACCGAUGGCGAAGGCAAUCCCCUGGGCCUGCACUGACGCUCAUGCACGAAAGCGUGGGGAGCAAACAGGAUUAGAUACCCUUGUAGUCC
rnacentral:rRNA from 1 species